CUACAAAAGACAGUUGAACAGACAAUAGACCAGACCACCCCAACCUUCCUUCACCAAGAGAUUGACGACAUAGACCGUGAUACACCACAUACACCCUUACAGUCCCACCGCACUAAAUCAACAGCUACUUCCUCUUAAGGACAUUCAGGGAUAGCAUCUGUCUCUACGGGCAGAAGUCUGUUGCGGGAGAAGUAGUGGACAAGCUGCUACGGGUCACCCGCGCAGUGAAGCGUUCGAGGCCUGUUCAGACAGAUGUGCAAGAUAGCCUUUGUUAUUUUUCUAUAGGGACAGUAUUAGAGUGAGAGAUAGUAGUUUCUAGUAAAAUUGCCAUUUAAAGGGGGGACUGUUAUGGACAGAUGAAUUAAAAUAAAAUGGCUAUUUACUAAUGUCUAUUUAUUCUGUGUUCACUAUGUUAAAACUGGC